rnacentral:rRNA from 1 species
UGGGGAGUACGGAUUACUGGGCGUAAGCGAGCGCAGACGGUUACUUAAGCAGGAUGUGAAAUCCCCGGGCUCAACCUGGGAACUGCGUUCUGAACUGGGUGACUAGAGUGUGUCAGAGGGAGGUAGAAUUCCACGUGUAGCAGUGAAAUGCGUAGAGAUGUGGAGGAAUACCGAUGGCGAAGGCAGCCUCCUGGGAUAACACUGACGUUCAUGCUCGAAAGCGUGGGUAGCAAACAGGAUUAGAUACCCUGGUAGUCCACGCCCUAAACGAUGUCAAUUAGCUGUUGGGCAACUUGAUUGCUUAGUAGCGUAACUGACGCGUGAAAUUGACCGCCUGGGGAGUACGGUCGCAAGAUUAAAACUCGAAGG